CUGCGCUGCCAGCUCAGGUGAGCCCUCGCCAAGGUGACCUCGCAGGACACUGGUGAAGGAGCAGUGAGGAACCUGCAGAGUCACACAGUUGGCCUGACUGCCUUGGAAGCCAACGACCCAUUUGCCAAUAAAGACGAUCCCUUCUACUAUGACUGGAAAAACCUGCAGCUGAGCGGACUGAUCUGCGGAGGGCUCCUGGCCAUUGCUGGGAUUGCGACAGUUCUGAGUGGCAAAUGCAAAUGCAAGAGCAGCCAGAAGCAGCACAGUCCUGUACCUGAGAAAGCCAUCCCACUCAUCACUCCAGGUGAGAUGGGCUUCUGUGGGCUGAGGGGGUGUCUGUGUAAGGACUGUCUGAUGGCCUGCCCGCCACUCUCCGCAGGCUCUGCCACUACUUGCUGAGCACAGGACCGGCCUCCAGGGAUGGCCUGAAGCCUAACACUGGCCCCCAGCACCUCCUCCCCUGGGAGGCCUUAUCCUCAAGGAAGGACUUCUCUCCAAGGGCAGGCUGUUAGGCCCCUUUCCGAUCAGGAGUCUUCUUUAUGAAUUAAACUCGCCCCACCACCCA
rnacentral:sRNA from 1 species